UUGUUAGAAUGAGAGAAAGCAAAAGAGAGCCUCAGGCAAAACAGUAAAGAACAGAGAAAACAGAACAGGAAAGAAAACAGCAUCUGUGGGCUCCAGAAGCGCCCAGAGCCCCCACCCUCCCUCGCCCACCUGCGCACUCACCCCUGAUGGCCCAGGUUCCGAGAGGCUAAGCAGGGCAGCCAGGGCCAUGGCUCACAGGAGGAUCCUGGCUCUGCGCUGGCUCCUUCAGUCUUUAGGGUGUAUUGCAAUGGCCACUGUGCGCCAGACCCCAAGGAGAAAAUGAGGCGGCGCAGGGACGGAGGAGCUCCGAAUCCAGCACUCCUUUCCCUACCCCUGUCCAGGGAGAAAGGCUGGAGAUGAAACAGCCUGAUGGGGCUCAACCAACCAGAAUACAUCAGAAGGGACGCCUCUGUGGCUGGGGAAGGAAGAUGCUAGAGCUGCUGGGAGGAAGUGGGAGAAUUGUCAGGCACCAGCAUGGCCCAGGAAGCCCCUGACUACUGCAGAGUGUAGGGCAAGGAGUGGGACCAUUACUCCUGGCGUUCCCAGAUGGAACAGACACCAAGCCUGGCUUUGCCACUGAAC
rnacentral:lncRNA from 10 species